rnacentral:misc_RNA from 1 species
AAAACAAAAGACACUAUGAACGUGAGCGGCGCUUGGAAAUGAUGAGAGGAUGACGCGUGACGGAGAAAUUCCAGCGAUCUUCAAUCCAAAACGCGUCCGCGCGCCAUCCGUUGUUGUCACUGGGGACUCCUCGUCGAAUGGACCGUUCAAUAACAACAAUACCAGCGGGACAGUAGGAAGCGUUGGUGGUGGUGGCAUUGCCAGCAGCAGCAGCGUUGGCGCUGUCGGGAGUUGUGGCUUCAGUAAUGUGCUGACCUCAAGUAAUCCGCAAAUAACCCACCAAGACUCGAUAUCAUCGAGCCAACAGGAUCCCAAUGAGGUCAUUACCAUCCAGGCGGACACGCCCACAGGACCACACGGAUCACAACAUAAUUUUGGAGGCGAUACGAACGAUCCACAAACACAUGGACAACUGGCCAUAGAUCAUCAGCAGCCAAAUGGCAUUCCGGCUGGCGAGGAUGCGGAAGUGCGUUUCCGCAAACUCAAAGCCUGCAAGGAGUCCUGCUGCUCCGAGCUGGCCAAGAAGAUGUACUUUGGCGUAUGCGUUACGAUUCUGGUGACUGCCUCUUGGGUGGGUGCGACGCACUGCAUCAAGUACAUGUAUUUGUAUCGGGCGCCGUAUGAAGAUGAGCUGGACGACUAUUUGGAUACGUCGUCGAGCCGGGCUGAGCUCAGCACCGAACUGGAGGAUAUAUUGGCCAUCAGUGAUUCAUCGCUGCAUCAUGUCGAGGACGCCACCGAGAUGUUCAACAUACCACCGCGACAGCCCGUCUACUUUAAUGCGCCGUUCUUUGCGGCAUGGUUCUUUACUAACUUUUCGCUGCUCUUCUUUCCCAUCUAUAUACUCGGUCUCAUAUCCGCCCGCAAGUGCGACAAGCUCAGUGAGAUUUUAGCCGAUGUCCUGCGGGGAUUUCGUGAACGUGGCUUUACCAUAGGCCGUUUCCUAAAUCGUUGCUUAUCCUUUUGCAUCCUGUGGCUGGUGACCACCUAUCUAUACACACUGUCGCUGCAUGUUCUCUUUGCAACAGAUGCACUGGCUCUGUUUGCCACAAACGUUGCUUGCGUCUAUUUGCUCUCCUGGGUCAUAUUGCACGAGCAGUUCGUUGGCGUUAGGAUUGUGGCCGUUAUCCUGUGCGACACUGGCAUCGCGUUGCUUGCCUAUAUGGACGGCAUCACGGAGAGUCGCACAUUGGGUGGCGUUGUUUUGGCCACGUUAGCUGCUGCCGGUUAUGCCGUGUUUAGGGUAAUGUUCCGUAAGGUGAUGGGCGAUCCGCCUGUGGCCCAAAUCGCAUUCACAUUCACCGCUCUGGGCCUGCUCAAUGCGCUGCUGCUGUGGCCCGUCGUUUUGGCCCUGUACCUGACGGGUGCCGAGAAUCUGACAUCGGAAGCCAUACCAUGGAACAUGUUGAUGGCAGCAAGCGUGUUGCUCCUGGUUUUCCACGUACUCAUGCAGUUCAGCGCUGCUGUUACCUACAACAUGUUUGUGACAUUGGGUUUGAUAACCGCUGUACCAGUUUCUGGUGCACUCGAUGUCAUCCUGUACAGUGCGACAUUUGCGGGCAUGAAACUGGCCGGCGUCAUUUUAAUUGCCAUCGGUUUUUUCCUCGUUAUGUUCCCCGAAAACUGGCCCGACUACAUAACGCGACUGCUACGAAGCAUCAUAAUGCUGGGUCACAAUGCGAGCGGUAGGCCAGCGCUUUGUAAACGAGAUGCUGCAGUCACCGGACCGUCCACGAGAUAUGCGCAACGGCACAUCACGCGUUCGUUCUCGCACCACAUAAGCUAAAAGUUGGAAAAAAAAAAAUAUAAAAAACAAAUACUACAAUUCACAGAUAUUCUGUACAAAGAAAAAACAAGCAACAACAAGAAAUACAUAUAUUUUGUAAAUGAUUUUCCAAGACAGACCAGUAAGCCAAACUAGAGUCCUGGAUCGCAGCAUAUUUAUGCCUCCCAUUACAAACAUAAACGAAAAUA